AGCGUAGAUGGAUGUUUAAGUCAGUUGUGAAAGUUUGCGGCUCAACCGUAAAAUUGCAGUUGAUACUGGAUAUCUUGAGUGCAGUUGAGGCAGGCGGAAUUCGUGGUGUAGCGGUGAAAUGCUUAGAUAUCACGAAGAACUCCGAUUGCGAAGGCAGCCUGCUAAGCUGCAACUGACAUUGAGGCUCGAAAGCAUGGGUAGCAAACA
rnacentral:rRNA from 1 species